rnacentral:rRNA from 1 species
UGGGGAAUUUUGGACAAUGGGCGAAAGCCUGAUCCAGCCAUGCCGCGUGAGUGAAGAAGGCCUUCGGGUUGUAAAGCUCUUUUAGUCGGAAAGAAAGAGUUGCAAUGAAUAAUUGUGAUUUAUGACGGUACCGACAGAAAAAGCACCGGCUAACUACGUGCCAGCAGCCGCGGUAAUACGUAGGGUGCGAGCGUUAAUCGGAAUUACUGGGCGUAAAGGGUGCGCAGGCGGUCUUGCAAGUCAGAUGUGAAAGCCCCGGGCUUAACCUGGGAAUUGCGUUUUAAACUACAAGGCUAGAGUGCAGCAGAGGGGGGUGGAAUGCCAUGUGUAGCAGUGAAAUGCGUAGAGAUGUGGAAGAACACCGAUGGCGAAGGCAGCUCCCUGGGUUGACACUGACGCUCAUGCACGAAAGCGUGGGGAGCAAACA